rnacentral:lncRNA from 10 species
CCAAUCAGCAGAUGUGGGUGGGGCCAGAUAAGAGAAUAAAGGCAGGCUGCCCGAACCAGCAGUGGCAACCCGCUUGGGUCCCCUUCCACGCUGUGCGAGCUUUGUUCUUUCGCUUUUUGCAAUAAAUCUUGCUACUGCUCACUCUUUGGGUCCACGCUGCUUUUAUGAGCUGUAACACUCACCGCGAAGGUCUGCAGCUUCACUCCUGAAGCCAGUGAGACCACGAGCCCACCGGAAGGAACGAACAACUCCAGACGCGCCACCUUAAGAGCUGUAACCCUCACCGCGAAGGUCCACGGCUUCAUUCCUGAGCCAGCGAGACCACGAACCCACCAGAAGGAAGAAACUCCAAACACAUCCGAACAUCAGAAGGAGAAAACUCCAGAUGCGCCACCUUAAGAGCUGUAACACUCACCGCGAGGGUCCGCAGCUUCAUUCUUGAAGUCAGUGAGACCAAGAACCCACCAAUUCUGGACACGCUACCUCGAUCCAGAUGAAGGUACCCCAAGCAGCUUGAGAUGUGAUGAUGGAGACCAGUUUGAGAAGACCCAUCAUCUCUGAUUUCCCUCUGAUUAUGAAGUAAUACAACAAAGCUACACCAGAGCCAUGGUACCAGCAUGAACAGCUUUCAUUCAUCUGACUUCACCAGAGCCAAUGGGAUCUCUGAUGCGGAAAUCACUUAGAGAAGUUUAGACUGCUUGACUAAAGUCACACAGCUGGCAAAAAGAUUGGCCUUUCAGUUCAGCCUGGGCUUGAAAUAUCAAACACAUUGCCAUAUCAAACACAUUUCUGUGCCAGGACCAGUCACACUACUACCACCCCGCCCCCAACAAACACACA